CUGAAGUCGCUCCGGGGCUGGGUCGAGGAGUACGGAUUCCCCGGGCUGUGGGCAGCUGCGGCCGUAGUGUGGCUGAGCUCUCUAUUCCGACGUGGCCCUUGAUUUCUCUCCGGCAGGAAAAAAAUUUUCGCUUCAGAGCAGCCGGACGGAUAGGAGAAAACACCUUGGGUUCCGGAGCCCGCUUUUCCUCCUUAGCUCCCAGCGGGCGACUUCCUUCGUUUUUGCCCCGGAGCAGAGUAGGGGGUGGGGAUGGGGGGGUUGCAAGUCUUUGCAGCUGCUCCCUCCUGUGGCAAGAGAGGCAGACCAGGCUGGGCUCCCCUUCCCUUCGAUAUUUCCCGUUAGAGCACAAUUUAAUUAAUUAAUUAAAUUUAAUUAAUUCAAUUUAUAUGCCACUCCUUUCCGAAGACUCAGGGCGGCUCACAAUACAUCUUAAAAAAUCAUUAUAAGAAAACAUUUAAAAAUUAAAAACAUUAAAAACUCAUUCACGCCAUUCAUGGCCGGAUCUCGCCAGAUCACAAGAGCAAGAUCAACGGCCCCAGGCCUGCCGGAAGAACCAGGUCUUCACCGUUUUUCGGAAGGCCAAUAGGGUGGGGAUGGUCCGUACCUCAGAAGGUAACUGGUUCCAGAGAGCUGGGGCAGCCACAGAGAAGGCCCUCCCCCGCGGACCCGCCAGCCGGCAUUGUUUAGCUGACAGGACCCGGAGGAGACCAACUCUGUGGGAUCUUACCGGUCGCUGGGAGCUAUGUGGCAGAAGGCGGCCCUGAGCCAUGUAGGGCUUUAAAGAAUAUCAUUCCUGGCAGUUGCAUUUGGGAUGGGGAGAAGGAAUUGCCUAAGAGAUCAUUUCCAUCAUCCCUGACCAAAGACAGUUUCCACCAUCCUUGGAGAAAACCAGGAGGAUGCACUUGGACUUCUUGGUGGUAUCCCAGCCAAGAACCAAGAAGCUUAGCUUUGUGGAAAUCCAGCAAGGUCAGCUAGGAACUGUUGCCUGCUGUGAACUGUAGUCUUAUAACUCUCAGAAAGUGACAGGUGACACUUCACAGCAAAGGGAUCACAGCCAUUACCAACAGAUAGAAGUGAAAAGCUCGCAGCAAGAAGUGAAUUUGUCCACUAUUCUUUAUUUACAAUACUGUACACACAUUUUGAAUUACCUGAAGAAAGCACAGAAGUCAGGAUUUGCAAGGGAAGGUGUGAUGUGGGAGAUUUUCCAGCUCCCUAUUCUCCCCUCCCUCAUUCUUCCAGAGGUUUGAAGAAGAGUCUCCAUUCUCUGCUGGCCCCCUUGCCAGCAGGCUUGCCAGGCUGUGAUAGAGGAAAAAACGCAGGCAAUCCAGUCCAAUAGAGGCUGUGGAAUUCGGGGCCGUCUCUUGAGUUGUUUAAGUGUGGAGGAACCACUGCCAGCCCCAGUUGCACGGAAGGGUCUGGGCGGGGGGAGGGAGGAGAAAGACCUGUGCUGGGCCCAAUGUUGGGCUGCUGGUGAAACCUGGGCAGGACUCCUGUUCCUGCUGAACUGAGCCAGUUUUUCCAAAACAACUGAAUAUCAGCUCAGUAGGCACGGGAGGCUUGGGCCCCUAUGGAGGAAACAGGACUUUGGUGUCCUGGGCCCAAUCUCUCUCUUUGUUGUAAUCAAGCAGGAACUCUUGGCCAUUUCGAAUCUUGGAGAAGGACCAUGUCUGUGUUUUCCUUUCUGCUCAGUUGGUCCUCCUGGGAUCCCCUCUUACUGAAUGGACAGAGGAGAGAAUGGACUCCAAGUGGCGGAACUUAGCCACUGUGAACAUGGCUUCAAAAAACGCUGUUCACAAGUGAGCUAAGCCCUACCCUAUGCAGUCUGAGGAAUUCCCUCCUCCCGGCCCAAUUAUUCUCCUGUGCACACAUGCGCUUGUCUCUGCAGUUGGUGGCUUGCCAUGACGCCUUGCACUCUUCAGGUUCAGUUUAUGGAGUUUCCAUCCAGGUGGAGGAGCUUGCCAACAGUUGGAAAUCCCUGGCAAUGUGAUUCUGAACAUCAAGGUAAAAUCACAUCACCAGGAACCCCAGCAGGCAGCAGCAGCAGCAGCAGGAGGAAGGAGGAGCUGGGGGACACCAUUGGCAUCACUAUAGAAAGAAAAAAGAAAAGGAGAUUAAGACAGGAUGGGUGUCUGGCUUCUAUCUUGCAAACAGUCGGCAACCUGUAAAAAAGGAAAGGGACCUGAGAUGCCCAGACAGACUGGCUAUCUAUCAUUCAAAAGAAUCCACCCUAUUGUCUGAGGCAGCAACAAACACGAAAGGCCAUUUUACAGACACCCCCCCCCCAAGUUUCUUCAACAACAUUCCUAUCUGAAUACACAUUUGAAAAUUGCUGUACAUCUAUGCUGAAAGAAAGUUGUGUACUUUUAGGCAACUAUAUAGACUUAAGUUCCAGAUUACAUUAAAAGUGUUCCUGUGAUUGA